GAACGCUGGCGGCGUGCCUAAUACCUGCAAGUCGAGCGAACAGACGAGGAGCUUGCUCCUCUGACGUUAGCGGCGGACGGGUGAGUAACACGUGGAUAACCUACCUAUAAGACUGGGAUAACUUCGGGAAACCGGAGCUAAUACCGGAUAAUAUAUUGAACCGCAUGGUUCAAUAGUGAAAGACGGUUUUGCUGUCACUUAUAGAUGGAUCCGCGCCGCAUUAGCUAGUUGGCAAGGUAACGGCUUACCAAGGCAACGAUGCGUAGCCGACCUGAGAGGGUGAUCGGCCACACUGGAACUGAGACACGGUCCAGACUCCUACGGGAGGCAGCAGUAGGGAAUCUUCCGCAAUGGGCGAAAGCCUGACGGAGCAACGCCGCGUGAGUGAUGAAGGUCUUCGGAUCGUAAAACUCUGUUAUUAGGGAAGAACAAAUGUGUAAGUAACUAUGCACGUCUUGACGGUACCUAAUCAGAAAGCCACGGCUAACUACGUG
rnacentral:rRNA from 1 species